AUUUAUCUAUGUAAAGUCUACCCAUAAAUGAAAGAAGGUUUUCAUUACUGGUGUAAAAUUGCGCGUUUGAAAUUCGCUCAGGUAGACAUAAAAAUAAUUUUGUCGUAUGACAGCAUACAUAAAUGCAGACUCACGUAAAGUAGAUAUAACAAAAAACAGACUUACAGUAAAAAUAAUAAAUAAAAUAAUGGUGUGAUUCAAAGUAUGACGGGAUACAUAAGUACAGUUUCACGUCAAAUACGGCUGAAUUUAUCUAUGUAAAGUCUACCCAUAAAUGAUAGAAGGUUUUCAUUACUGGUGUAAAAUUGCGCGUUUGAAAUUCGCA
rnacentral:lncRNA from 1 species